rnacentral:rRNA from 1 species
CAAUAGCGUAUAUUUAAGUUGCUGCAGUUAAAAAGCUCGUAGUUGGAUUUCGGGUGGGAAUGGCCGGUCCGCCGUUUCGGUGUGCACUUGCUACGCCCACCUUGCUGCCGGGGACGUGCUCUUGAGUUCACGCUCGGGACAUGGAGUCGGCGAGGUUACUUUGAGUAAAUUAGAGUGUUCAAAGCAGGCCUACGCUCUGAAUACAUUAGCAUGGAAUAACACGAUAGGACUCUGGCCUAUCUUGUUGGUCUGUAGGACCGGAGUAAUGAUUAAGAGGGACAGUCGGGGGCAUUCGUAUUUCAUUGUCAGAGGUGAAAUUCUUGGAUUUAUGAAAGACGAACUACUGCGAAAGCAUUUGCCAAGGAUGUUUUCAUUAA